rnacentral:misc_RNA from 1 species
CCGAGUUUACAACUCCCAAACCCAAUGUGAACGUUACCAAACUGUUGCCUCGGCGGGAUCUCUGCCCCGGGCGCGUCGCAGCCCCGGACCAAGGCGCCCGCCGGAGGACCAACCCAAAACUCUUAUUGUAUACCCCCUCGCGGGUUUUUUUUAUAAUCUGAGCCUUCUCGGCGCCCCUUCGUGGGCGUUUCGAAAAUGAAUCA